AAACGAUGUCGAUCAACUCACAAACCCCAUAUUCGGUGACUUCCCAGUCCUUUGAGAAACACCUAGAUUUUAACCAUGGAAACAGCAUCUGCUCAGAACCGGGACUGGUGCAGCAUUCUCCCCUUCGUCUCCACUCCUCUCCUGUCCAUUCCAUCUCAGACACAACCGCCACCAGAAGAGUCUGCCUGAAGCACGGUCCCUGCCACAUAUCCCGCCUCAUUCCCCCAAUGCUCCAGGAUUCUCAUUAUUCACGUAAAUGACAUAAGCUCCUCAAGGACAAAGGCUGUGUAUUCCCAGCUCUGCACCGUCUACUGAGCCUCAGCCUUUCACUCCACUGAUACUUGCUGAGCAUCUACUAUGUGCUGGGUAUUGAAGAUAGUGUUGGGCCUGACCCAGCCCUUACUGUCCUGGAGCUUACAGUCUAGAAGGUGCUCAAAACUGUUCACUGGAUAAAUAACAAAACUGAUUAGUCAGUUAGAAAAAAUGAAAAUACAGACUUGGGGACUGAGAUCUAAAUUUAAUAAAAAUGAAAAAAGUUUUA